CCCUUAGAUGUUCUGGGCCGCACGCGCGCUACACUGAAUGGAUCAACGUGUUUUCCCUUCCCGAGAGGGACGGGUAACCCGCUGAACCCCAUUCGUGGUAGGGAUCGGAGCUUGCAAUUGUUCUCCGUGAACCAGGAAUUCCCAGUAAGCGCAAGUCAUAAGCUUGCGUUGAUUACGUCCCUGCCCUUUGUACACACCGCCCGUCGCUACUACCGAUUGAAUGGUCCGGUGAAAUUCUCGGACGCGGACUAGCGAUGUUAAUUCGGAGCUUGACUGUGAAAGUUAAUUAAACCUUACCAUUUAGAGGAAGGUGAAGUCGUANCA
rnacentral:rRNA from 1 species